GUUUGUAUACUUGUCCUCCAAAAAUAAUUCAUUUGUUGUACUUGCAUUGAUUACAAGUCAUACCCCCAAAAUUACCAAAACAGUGACCAAAUAAAAUGUUCUGUACUUCAUGGCUCUAUAGAAUAUUCCAGCACUUGUCCAGCAAGCGGAUAGCGUGACGUUCUUAUCUGAGGCGUGGCGCAAUGACAGUUGAAAGAGAAGUGCUCCAAACCGAAAAUUGAAGCAACUUUAUUUAAUAUUGACUCACAAUCAGUAUUGUAAAUUGCAAGUGAAUA